CAGCAGUGAGGAAUAUUGGGCAAUGCCCGCAAGGGUGACCCAGCAACGCCGCGUGGAGGAUGAAUGCCGUAAGGUUGUAAACUCCUGUUAGAGGGGACGAAAUAUUUAGCUUCGUAAGAAUCUGAAUUUGACUGUACCCUCAGAGAAAGCCCCGGCUAACUACGUGCCAGCAGCCGCGGUAAUACGUAGGGGGCAAGCGUUGUCCGGAUUCACUGGGUGUAAAGGGCGCGCAGGCGGGUUAAUAAGUCAGAGGUGAAAUCCUACAGCUCAACUGUAGAACUGCCUUUGAUACUGUUAAUCUUGAGUUCGGAAGAGAGAGACGGAAUUCCAGGUGUAGUGGUGAAAUACGUAGAUAUCUGGAAGAACACCAGUAGCGAAGGCGGUCUCUUGGUCCGAUACUGACGCUCAGGCGCGAAAGCGUGGGUAGCAAACAGGAUUAGA
rnacentral:rRNA from 1 species